CCUAAUACAUGCAAGUCGAGCGAACAGACGAGGAGCUUGCUCCUCUGACGUUAGCGGCGGACGGGUGAGUAACACGUGGAUAACCUACCUAUAAGACUGGGAUAACUUCGGGAAACCGGAGCUAAUACCGGAUAAUAUAUUGAACCGCAUGGUUCAAUAGUGAAAGACGGUUUUGCUGUCACUUAUAGAUGGAUCCGCGCCGCAUUAGCUAGUUGGUAAGGUAACGGCUUACCAAGGCAACGAUGCGUAGCCGACCUGAGAGGGUGAUCGGCCACACUGGAACUGAGACACGGUCCAGACUCCUACGGGAGGCAGCAGUAGGGAAUCUUCCGCAAUGGGCGAAAGCCUGACGGAGCAACGCCGCGUGAGUGAUGAAGGUCUUCGGAUCGUAAAACUCUGUUAUUAGGGAAGAACAAAUGUGUAAGUAACUAUGCACGUCUUGACGGUACCUAAUCAGAAAGCCACGGCUAACUACGUGCCAGCAGCCGCGGUAAUACGUAGGUGGCAAGCGUUAUCCGGAAUUAUUGGGCGUAAAGCGCGCGUAGGCGGUUUUUUAAGUCUGAUGUGAAAGCCCACGGCUCAACCGUGGAGGGUCAUUGGAAACUGGAAAACUUGAGUGCAGAAGAGGAAAGUGGAAUUCCAUGUGUAGCGGUGAAAUGCGCAGAGAUAUGGAGGAACACCAGUGGCGAAGGCGACUUUCUGGUCUGUAACUGACGCUGAUGUGC
rnacentral:rRNA from 1 species